UACGAAGGGGGCUAGCGUUGUUCGGAAUUACUGGGCGUAAAGCGCACGUAGGCGGAUUGUUAAGUUAGGGGUGAAAUCCCGGGGCUCAACCCCGGAACUGCCUUUAAUACUGGCAAUCUCGAGUCCGAGAGAGGUGAGUGGAAUUCCGACGUGUAGAGGUGAAAUUCGUAGAUAUUCGGAGGAACACCGGUGGCGAAGGCGGCAUCCUGGACCGGCACUGACGCUGAGGAGCGAAAGCCAGGG
rnacentral:rRNA from 1 species